UAGAACUGGGCCGUCGAAAGGCGGCCAUUGUAACUUACACUUACAGGGGUAGCCUUUAGAUGUCGGAAAAAGCUGAAAAUUCAAGUUCUAGAUCGGGUUACUUACUUUGAAACCAACAGUUUAACCACCACUCCACUCUAUUGUUGAAUUCCCUGUCUCAUCAGUUGAAUUGUUUAUUUGUCAUUAUUGUUUUACAGUAUCUUAGUCUGUUAAUACCUCACUUACCUACUUGGUCCAUGGAGUUUAUUGGUUGUGCAGAGUAAAACUUCUUUGUUCUGUUCACAGUGUUUUACCAUUUCAACUUGGUACCAUGUAAUUGUGGUUAAAUGUGAACAAAAUAAAAAUUUUACAUUUUA